rnacentral:misc_RNA from 1 species
CGCAUUCUACUUUGUAGAGCGUGACCUCCCACUUCUCUAACUCUGUGCAUUUAUUGGCGGAAGGACUUGAGCAAUCGAGCUUCCUUCUGCGGCUCAUUUUAAAACACUAGUUAAAGUAUGUAACGAAAUAUCGAAACAAAAAAAACUUUCAACAACGGAUCUCUUGGCUUGCUCAUCGAUGAAGAACGCAGCGAAAUGUGAUAAGUAAUGUGAAUUGCAGAAUUCAGUGAAUCAUCGAAUCUUUGAACGCACCUUGCGCUCUCUGGUAUUCCGGAGAGCAUGUCUGUUUGAGUGUCAUGAACUCUUCAACCCACCAGUUUCUUGUAGACUGAAUGGUGUUUGGUUUCUGAGCGUUGCUGGUCUUCGGAUCUAGCUCGUUCGUAAUAUAUUAGCAUCUCUAAUUCGAACUCGGAUUGACUCAGUGUAAUAGACUAUUCGCUGAGGACACGCUCUUGUAGUGUGGCCGAAUGAGAUCUCAGUAGAAGCUUCCAACUACUUUAGUCAACUUUAG